rnacentral:rRNA from 1 species
CCUACGGGUGGCAGCAGUGGGGAAUAUUGGACAAUGGGCGAAAGCCUGAUCCAGCCAUGCCGCGUGUGUGAAGAAGGCCUUCGGGUUGUAAGGCACUUUCAGUGGGGAAGAAAGCCUUGGGGCUAAUACCCUCGAGGAAGGACAUCACCCACAGAAGAAGCACCGGCUAACUCCGUGCCAGCAGCCGCGGUAAUACGGAGGGUGCGAGCGUUAAUCGGAAUUACUGGGCGUAAAGCGCGCGUAGGCGGUCUGAUAAGCCGGUUGUGAAAGCCCCGGGCUCAACCUGGGAACGGCAUCCGGAACUGUCAGGCUAGAGUGCAGGAGAGGAAGGUAGAAUUCCCGGUGUAGCAGUGAAAUGCGUAGAGAUCGGGAGGAAUACCAGUGGCGAAGGCGGCCUUCUGGACUGACACUGACGCCGAGGUGCGAAAGCGUGGGUAGCAAACAGGAUUAGAUACCCUAGUAGUC